rnacentral:rRNA from 1 species
AUUGAACGCUGGCGGCAUGCUUUACACAUGCAAGUCGAACGGUAACAGGCCGCAAGGUGCUGACGAGUGGCGAACGGGUGAGUAAUGCAUCGGAACGUGCUCAGUCGUGGGGGAUAACUACUCGAAAGAGUAGCUAAUACCGCAUACGAUCUAUGGAUGAAAGCGGGGGACCGUAAGGCCUCGCGCGAUUGGAGCGGCCGAUGUCAGAUUAGGUAGUUGGUGGGGUAAAGGCUCACCAAGCCAACGAUCUGUAGCUGGUCUGAGAGGACGACCAGCCACACUGGGACUGAGACACGGCCCAGACUCCUACGGGAGGCAGCAGUGGGGAAUUUUGGACAAUGGGCGCAAGCCUGAUCCAGCAAUGCCGCGUGCAGGAAGAAGGCCUUCGGGUUGUAAACUGCUUUUGUACGGAACGAAACGGCUCUGGUUAAUACCCGGGGCUAAUGACGGUACCGUAAGAAUAAGCACCGGCUAACUACGUG